GGGUCCUUAGGCUGGUCGUGCCACCGGUACGUACUGGUCUCACUGAUUCCUCCUUCCUGAAGAACCGUAAUGCCAUUAAUUUGGUGUUGCGGGGAAACAGGACUGUUACUAUGAAAAAAUUAGAGUGUUUAAAGCAAGCUAACGCUUGAAUACAUUAGCAUGGAAUAAUGAAAUAGGACGAUCGAUCCUAUUUUGUUGGUUUCUAGGAUUGACGUA
rnacentral:rRNA from 1 species